rnacentral:misc_RNA from 1 species
CAGAGCAUCAUGCCCUUCGGGGUAGAUCUCCCACCCUUGUGUAUCAUUAUAGAAUGUUGCUUUGGCGGGCCGCGCCUAGUGUGCCUAGAUUCGCGUCUAGCAUGCCCGCCAGAGGACCCCUAAACUCUGAAUGUUAGUGUCGUCUGAGUACUAUUAAAUAGUUA